rnacentral:rRNA from 1 species
GAUGAACGCUGGCGGCGUGCCUAAUACAUGCCAGUCGAGCGAACAGACGAGGAGCUUGCUCCUCUGACGUUAGCGGCGGACGGGUGAGUAACACGUGGAUAACCUACCUAUAAGACUGGGAUAACUUCGGGAAACCGGAGCUAAUACCGGAUAAUAUAUUGAACCGCAUGGUUCAAUAGUGAAAGACGGUUUUGCUGUCACUUAUAGAUGGAUCCGCGCCGCAUUAGCUAGUUGGUAAGGUAACGGCUUACCAAGGCAACGAUGCGUAGCCGACCUGAGAGGGUGAUCGGCCACACUGGAACUGAGACACGGUCCAGACUCCUACGGGAGGCAGCAGUAGGGAAUCUUCCGCAAUGGGCGAAAGCCUGACGGAGCAACGCCGCGUGAGUGAUGAAGGUCCUCGGAUCGUAAAACUCUGUUAUUAGGGAAGAACAAAUGUGUAAGUAACUAUGCACGUCUUGACGGUACCUAAUCAGAAAGCCACGGCUAACUACGUG